rnacentral:lncRNA from 1 species
AAGCUGAAUACAAGCCUGGAGAGCAUGCCAGUGUGCUCUGUCUCUCGAAGGCCUCUGCUCCAGGAUCCUGCCCUGACGUCCCUCCACAGUAGACUGUGAUGUAGAAAUGUGACAUCCACCUGCCAGUGUGUUAUCACAGUGGUAGAUGGCUAACUAAGUCAGGGGAGCAUUAGCCACCCCUCAGGGAGUGUCCUGCGCUGUGGGGUGUGGCAGAAGCGGGGACCUCUUCCCGCAUCUCCUCCACUGCGGGUCUCAGGAAAGCGCAAUUAAAGGUAGAGGAGGCACCUGAGAGGGGACACAUUUCUGUCGGGCCUGCCCGGCCUGAGCACAGUUUCCCUACCUGAUUGCCGCCGAGGUUGUGGCAGACGUACAUGAUGAGAGGCUUUCCUCCCCGGUUGUUCUCGCCCACGUCCAAACACUGAUUGGUACCAAGAUUCUUGAUCUGCACAAAACAAUUCGAGCCAGGAGGGGCUCCAGCCAGCCGUGGAAACACUCACCUGCAGACCCAAGCAAGAAGGUGAAGGGCCAGCUAAUCUGAGUACCAAGCCCUUACUAAAACACAAGGACAGGAUGGCCCCAGCCCCUCCUGGCACCGGAUGGGCGUGUCCUACUCACAGUGGGCAUCCAGGAACGUGAGCACCUCUGCCUGCGCCACGCUGGCCCCCAGUAGCCUGGCUGUGAUGAGCCCCUUCCGCUCCCGCUGCCGAACCACGCGCACGAUCUGCAGCUGCUGAACGUACUGCUCCAGCCUCUCCUUCAGGUGCUCUGGAAGGGACACGGCCACUGUGACCAGCCCCUCACUAAUCCCCUGUGGGUAUUACUGCCAAAAACUGUCCGCAGAAGGUGAGGGCAGAGAUGGAAAGACAGGCAGGCAGGAAGCCCUGUCUGUGGCCAGGCCCCCUUGAGAACAGACUUGCCAGCACCGAUGUCUGUGGCCAUCUUCCCCCAUCCCCCACUCCUUGAGGUGUUGGGAAUUUAAGCCAGGGCCAAGUGCUCCACCACUAAGCUACACUGCCCGGCACAGGCCUAAUCUUUGACUUUAUGCCCUGUGUAUGGGACUCUUCAGGGAGAGUAAAACAAGCCAAGCAGAUUUAAAAUACUAAAAGAGGCUGUGGGUAAUGUUCAGUGGUAGGCGCCUGCCUAGUGUGGGGGCUUCUUUUGGCCACAGUGGAUAGAGAUACAUCCCUAAGGACCUAAGGACCCUGGGACUCCAUCUGAAAUCCUCAGGACACAGAACAUAGUUUUACUUCAAAGGACUCCAUUUGGAGCAUCCUCCAUCUUAUGUCUUAACUGUUAAGUUUGACGGUCCUGGAACCUGCUCUGUAGACCAGGCUGACCUGGAACCAGGCUGGCCUCAGAUUCCCCCUGCCUCUGCCUCCCCAGUGCUGCAAUUAAAAAGACAUUCUAUCACUUU